GAUAAACGCUGGCGGCGCACAUAAGACAUGCAAGUUGAACGGACUUAAUCGAAAUAUUUAUAUUUUGAAGCGGUUAGUGGCGGACUGGUGAGUAACGCGUAAGGAACCUGCCUAUUAGAGGGGAAUAACAGUGAGAAAUCAUUGCUAAUACCGCAUAUGCCAUAGAUAUCACAUGAUAACAGUGGGAAAGGAGCAAUCCGCUAAUAGAUGGCCUUGCGUCUGAUUAGAUAGUUGGUGGGGUAACGGCCUACCAAGUCGACGAUCAGUAGCCGGACUGAGAGGUUGAACGGCCACAUUGGGACUGAGAUACGGCCCAGACUCCUACGGGAGGCAGCAGUCGGGAAUUUUGCGCAAUGGAGGAAACUCUGACGCAGUGACGCCGCGUAUAGGAAGAAGGUUUUCGGAUUGUAAACUAUUGUCGUUAGGGAAGAGAAAGGACAGUACCUAAGGAGGAAGCUCCGGCUAACUACGUG
rnacentral:rRNA from 1 species